AGACCCCUGUUUAUCUUCCAACAACAACAACAACAACAAAACAUAAUUAUUGUUACAGUUUUCAUUACAUUUACUGUUGAAUCAACUAUAGUCACCAUGAUAAUUUUCGUAAGGACUAUUUACAUAACCAGAGACUGACUGGGGGAACAGUUUGAUGGACAGUUAAUGAGGCUCGCGCGGAGAGGGCCUCACGAGGCACCUCAUUCAUAAGCGCGCGGUAUCAGCCGUCCCCUCAUGAGAGACAGACAUUAAACCCAGCCUUAACCCCCAGCCUUUAGUAGCCGCUGAAACACUCAGGAUGAACCUAUUCCAAAUCACGAAGGGAUCAGCAGGAGAUUAAUAAUGCUCAAUGCGUCUUAACGACUGCGCAGAAGAGACCUCUCCCCCAGUACUGUUGAUGUGCUCAUCUUACCUCGUUAUUAGACGAGCCACACAUCUAAUUGUGACGGUCGUUCUCGAUAAACAGCGUAAAUCUUCCUAUUAGCCUACGUCAAAGUAUUCAAAAUGAACAAAGAUUCUACUUUUUCUAUAGGAUACUAUUAUAUUAGGAUAUAUUAUAAUAGUUAGAAACGUUUAACGAUUUCUCUUUCUCUUUUCGUUUUGUACACCAUCAUGACAUGAUCAUGAAGUGGCUGAAAAAGUGUAUCACUAAAGGCCCUCCCUUGAUUUUAUUUAAAGAUGUAAGGUAGCAAUUAAACGUAGCUUGUCAGUUUUGGUGUCUUGAAUGUUUUACGGUGUACUUUGAUGCUGUCGUUUGUUCUGCGCGCAUUCUUUCAAGGUAAACGGAAUUUGAGUCUUCACGUUUAGAAGCAGGCAGAGAUAACUCAAGAAUGCUUAGAGGCGAGCUGGGGAAUGCGGAGCUGGAGUCAGGCUAAUCUGUGAGCGCAGAGAGACUGGCUCCUGUCUGCCUGUCUGCCAGGCCUCUAUCUGUGCGUCUCAGUUCACACCCUCCCUCCCUCCGUAUCUCUACUGCAGUGCUGGGGCACAGCAUGGGAUUCAACUGGCCUCCACAGGGCCACAAACUACUAGUGCACACUCAGAAAUCUAAAUCAGCUCUGCUAUAUAUGGGGGACAAGCAUCCAACAUACACUUGUGAGUUUUACAUAAUCUGUACCAACAGACAUAAUCGAAUAUAUGCACACUAACAUUUGUAUGUUCUAUCAGAAAUGUGAAUUGAAGAGUUGAUUCUAAAUCAAUGUUAUUGUUUUAAUAAUAAAAUGUAUAAUAAUAAUAAUGAUAAUUAUUAUUAUUUAAUAAUUAUUAUAAUUACAAAUCUAAUUAAUAAAAAUAUUAAUAUUAUUAAAUAAUAAUGGUAUUUAUGUAUAUUUUUAAUCAAUUUGAUUUUAACAUUUGUUUUGAGAUUGGAACCAUUAUUGCUGCACCACUUAUUGAAAAAAGGUUCAGAUUUAUUUAAUUAUUCAUUUAUGAAUGAAUGAAUGAAUGAAUGAAUGAAUGAAUGGAUGAAUGAAUGAAGGAAUGAAAGUAAUACUUUUAUUCGGCAAGGCCAUUGAAAUUAAUUCCAAAGUUAAAGUAAAGACAUUUAUAAUGUUAGAAAACUAUUUUAUUUCAAAUAAAUUAUUUCAUUUUAAACUUUCUAAGCAAUAAACAGUUCUGAAUAAAAGAAUCAUGAUUUCCACAAAAAUAAUAAGCAGAUUCAGCCCUGAUAAUAAUAAUUAUCAUUGAUAAUAAUCUGGUAAUAAUUCUUAUUAUUUGAGCAUAUUGAUCAUGUGACACUAAAGACUGGAGCAAUGGCUGCUGAAAAUUUUUUUCUUUGCCAUCACAGGAAAAAAAAAGUCAUUUUAAAAUAUAUAAUAUUAGAAUAUGGUUAUUUUAAAUUCAUAAUAUUUCAUAUAAUAAAUCAAUGAUAUUUCAUAAAAUAACUAUUUGUAUUGUAUUUUUAAUCAAAUAAAUGCAGCUUUAGUGAGCAUAAGAGACUUAUACAAAAACAUAAAAAACUUACCAACCACAAACUUUUAAUCACUUUUAAUUUCUCUUUUAGUCUGCAAAUUCACUUUAGGGAUGAAUAUUUCUUAUUUUUGAUGUAAAUUUAAAGUCAGAGAUUUUAAUGUGGACUUUUAGAUCCCACUUUAUUCUGCAAAAUAUGACAUGCAUGGAGGUGGUCAGACUACAUGACUCAAAUGUAUCACAGAUAAUAUAAAAUCUGUGUACUUUAUCAACAGAGAAAUCAGCUUUGUAAAACCAAAUACCCUUCUUUUUGUAAACAGCCCACUAAUAUGUAAUAUAAAUGCAACUGCGACAAAGUGUAGGACAAGAGAAAAUGUCUGCAAUCUUUCCAAGCCCACUCACUCAUUCCACUAAAAACUGCUCAUCAGGAAACUGCUUGAUAAAAUCAAUACAACACCAAUAUGUUCCCUACUAAAUGCCUUUCAAUUAAGAUCAAGGGCGCUCAUGUGUUAAUGGGCAGUUUAUGUGUUAGUGUACUGGCACAACAUCAAGGCAGCUUCAUACAGCGGCUCAGUAGGAUUAAGUAAUGCAGUGCUAUGUGUAGUCUAUGUAUAGAGGAAGUUCCUCUCCCUUUCUAAACAACUAGAAAUGUGUAACUGAAUAGCACACAGACUGAAGCUGCUCUUCUGGGUGUGAGGGUUGUGAAUGUGGGCCAGAAUCGAGGUCAGCGCGGGGUGAUUCCGUGUCAGACAGGUAUGGCACUCGUGACUGGGUGGGUCACAUAUCCCAGCCAAAGAAUCUCAUUUUUAACUGUGUCUUUGAGUACAUAUGCUGUAUUUGCAGUAUUGAGCAUUUGCAGUACACAUCUGCAGUCUCCGACCCUGCUUUGUGUGUGUGUGUGUAAGGUAAACAAGUCAAACAUGACAUAUAUUUAGUCAAAAAAAUUUAACAAAGUCCUAGUCUGCACAAAAGCCACACUCUUAUUCUGUUCUUUCUUCAUUUUCAAAAGGCAAACAGCCAGGAUCCCUUGAAGGAGAUAAGCCUGUGUAUACCGGAUGUAGUGGCGAAUAGAUAUGAUUAUGAAUGGAUAUGAAGUACGCAACCUCUCUACAAUACGACUAACCUCCCAUGAUACUCCAUGCAUCCGACCAUAAUUCAUCAACCAUUCACUACUGUACAUGACAAGAUUGUCGUCUAUGACUGUGGGCAGCUUAAGGAAUGUAAACAAAGGUUGUCUAGUGUUUUGUAGGUUACAUAUUGCACGUAGUGCAUUAAUUAUAAGAGGUUAAUGUAAAGUAAUGCAACACAUCCUUCAUUCGAACUAUGAAUGUCCAAAUGUUUUGUGACUGUGCAUGUAAAAGAUAAAUUUUGCCAAUUAUUGAAGGAGAAAUGUCUGCCAAGUAUUGAAGGAGAAAAUUGAGAAAAAU
ensembl:lncRNA